AAGACAUGAAGUUAGGUCAGCAAACCCGCUGAAUUUAAGCAUAUAAGUAAGCGGAGGAAAAGAAACUAAAUAGGAUUCCCUCAGUAAUGGCGAAUGAACAGGGAUGAGCUCAGUAUGGAAAUUGGGGCCUGUGGCCUUGAAUUGUAGUCUGGAGAUGUACUACCAACUGGGGCGCAGAUGUAAGCCUCUUGGAAAAGAGCAUCAAUGAGGGUGAGAGUCCCGCUUGGCAUCUGCAGUCCCCAGUGCACGGUGUACCUUCUAAGAGUCACGUUCCUCGGGAUUGGAGCGCAAAUUGGGUGGUAAAUUUCAUCUAAAGCUAAAUAUUGUUUCGAGACCGAUAGCAAACAAGUACCAUGAGGGAAAGGUGAAAAGGACUUUGAAAAGAGAGUUAAAAGUGCCUGAAAUUGCUGAAAGGGAAGCGAAUGGAACCAGCGUAACUUGGUGAGAUUGCUGCGUAUCAAUGUGAUUGCUUGCUGCUUCAACGUAAGUGUGGUAGUAAGUCUUGAACAGGACAUGCGUGGUGUUUCUUGCCUUGUGUGUCACUGCCAGUUCACAGCUGGGGAAAACUUCAGGGGCAUGGUAGCUUGUCUCCGGAUGGGUGAACGUGUCUGCUGGAACUCAUUUGUGGACUGAUUGGUGACUAAAUGGUUCCAUCUGACCCGUCUUGAAACAC
rnacentral:rRNA from 1 species